rnacentral:lncRNA from 1 species
AUUUCCAUCUUCAGUCAAAGAGAGUCUUCCUUUGGACAUGGUCCCAGUUGUCUUUGUUGGAUGCCUUACUCUCAGAAACUCAGUGGAUGACAUAUCCACUAAGAUUUUCUAGGUUUUGAAAAACCAUGAGCCCCUGGCUGUCUGUGAUCUACUUAAAUACUUCUUUGGAGUUCUAUCCCACGGCCCUAGUCUGUUUCUGUUACUAUGGUGAAGACACAAUGGCAGCCUUACUUUGUCAAGAAGAAUGGAUUACUCAGCCCACAGUUUCGGAAGCUAUAUCUUCAGGUGCCUGGACUGGCAGCUUGCUCUCUCUUCUUUUUGAGGAUGCAGAGAUGAAACUGAGUACAGGGCCUAAAGCUGAUGCUCUACGUUAUCAGCUUGUUUGGAGCUGAUUGAUGGCACACCCACCGUAUUUGUGAAAGUGUGGCAAAUUUCAGAUGCCGGCAGUCUCCCCACGGGGUUGGCAAAGCAGUGGCUAGAAGGUGGGCCCAUGAAGUACCAAAGAAGCCUCCAGAUUUUCAAAGUUUUCCUAUUUCCAGCUUCAGGAAUAGGUAGCUUGUUGGCAGUAGAUACCUGUGAGCUUAGGCCUUGAAAAGCAGAUGCAAAAACAAGAGGGUCAAAAGCUUGGGGUCAUCUUGGGUUGCAUGAAAGGAACCCAUCACCAAAAGAAGCAAAUGAAUAAACAAAUGAAUAUAAUUCA